UACGGGGGGCGAAGCGUUGUUCGGAAUUACUGGGCGUAAAGGCUCGUAGGCGGCCAACUAAGUCGGACGUGAAAUCCCUCGGCUUAACCCGGGAAGUGCUUUGAUACUGCAGAGCUUGAAUGUGGGAGAGGGUAGUGGAAUUCCAGGUGUAGUGGUGAAAUAACGUAGAUAUCUGGAGGAACACCGGUGGCGAAGGCGGCUACCUGGCCCAACAUUGACACUGAGACCCGAAGCGUGGG
rnacentral:rRNA from 1 species